AGCGAACGCUGGCGGCAGGCCUAACACAUGCAAGUCGAACGAACCCUUCGGGGUUAGUGGCGGACGGGUGAGUAACACGUGGGAACGUGCCUUUAGGUUCGGAAUAACUCAGGGAAACUUGUGCUAAUACCGAAUGUGCCCUUCGGGGGAAAGAUUUAUCGCCUUUAGAGCGGCCCGCGUCUGCUUAGCUAGUUGGUGAGGUAAUGGCUCACCAAGGCUACGAUCAGUAGCUGGUCUGAGAGGAUGACCAGCCACAUUGGGACUGAGACACGGCCCAAACUCCUACGGGAGGCAGCAGUGGGGAAUCUUGCGCAAUGGGCGAAAGCCUGACGCAGCCAUGCCGCGUGGAUGAUGAAGGUCUUAGGAUUGUAAAAUCCUUUCACCGGUGAAGAUAAUGACUGUAGCCGGAGAAGAAGCCCCGGCUAACUUCGUGCCAGCAGCCGCGGUAAUAC
rnacentral:rRNA from 1 species